AGAGUUUGAUCAUGGCUCAGAGCGAACGCUGGCGGCAGGCCUAACACAUGCAAGUCGAACGCACCCUUCGGGGUGAGUGGCGGACGGGUGAGUAACACGUGGGAACGUGCCCUUUGGUUCGGAAUAACUCAGGGAAACUUGAGCUAAUACCGGAUGAGCCCUACGGGGGAAAGAUUUAUCGCCGAAGGAGCGGCCCGCGUCUGAUUAGCUAGUUGGUGAGGUAAAGGCUCACCAAGGCUACGAUCAGUAGCUGGUCUGAGAGGAUGAUCAGCCACACUGGGACUGAGACACGGCCCAGACUCCUACGGGAGGCAGCAGUGGGGAAUCUUGCGCAAUGGGCGAAAGCCUGACGCAGCCAUGCCGCGUGGAUGAUGAAGGUCUUAGGAUUGUAAAAUCCUUUCACCGGGGACGAUAAUGACGGUACCCGGAGAAGAAGCCCCGGCUAACUUCGUGCCAGCAGCCGCGGUAAUACGAAGGGGGCUAGCGUUGCUCGGAAUUACUGGGCGUAAAGGGCGCGUAGGCGGACAGUUAAGUCGGGGGUGAAAGCCCGGGGCUCAACCUCGGAAUUGCCUUCGAUACUGGCUGUCUUGAGUAUGGGAGAGGUGUGUGGAACUCCGAGUGUAGAGGUGAAAUUCGUAGAUAUUCGGAAGAACACCAGUGGCGAAGGCGACACACUGGCCCAUUACUGACGCUGAUGCGCGAAAGCGUGGGGAGCAAACAGGAUUAGAUACCCCAGUAGUCC
rnacentral:rRNA from 1 species